AAGAAGUGUAGAUAGUGACUUGCCAGCAAGAAUUAAGAGAUCAACUGCAGGGACCUCUAAGACGUUAUGAACGAGUGUUGGACCGACCUGUAUGUCUAGGUGAUGUUGUUAUCAGUGAUCGGAAGAUGAGGCCAAAAUUGAGGAAUCGUCUUUGGCCAAAUCCUAAAAAGCUGAGGAAGAUGGUUAAACCUGACCUUGAUUUGGUGAUGUGGUGGAGCCUUUCUAUGGGUAGACGGUGACCGACCUUGAAAAAUGC